CAGGGUUUGUAUGUUUUCAUGGACAAGAUUUUAGAAUUCUGAAAUCAUUUUUCCUACUCUUUAUCUAGCCAUUGUUUUCAAUUCAUUCCACUAUGAUAUUAAAACGAAUUUUCAGAGACUUUGAACAUUCUUGACACCAGUAUUCUGUCACCGUGUGAAAGUCCUCCAGGAAAACAUUUGCUUUACAGAGCCAGUUAUCAGUUCUCUGAUUUAUGACUGAUGACAACUUUGGGGCUGUUCACACUGCACUUUGCUGUUCCUUUUCAAACUUGAGUUCCUUAGCCCUAGGCUAAAUAAGUGCUGGGCUAUCUGUAGCACAGGGCAUAGGUUAGCCUUGAUUCACACUAUCACUUAUUAACCCAGGGCUAACUGGGUACUUGGGGUUUACUGGGUUUUAGUGAGAAAGCUUUCUUUGUGCAGUGAAAAUGGCCUACACUGGCAUGUUUCUGGCACAUUCCAAAGUGGACUAACCUUGACUUUAGCCUGGGGCUUGCUGGCUCUGCUAUAGAAUAGGGUUAGCCCCAAGUUAUCCCCAACAAGUAGGGGUCAAGGUCUCUAAUGUGAAUCAUGGUUAGAAUCAAGGUUAGAACAGCAGCAAUACAAUCCUUAGAAAAGCAACAGAUUGUUUGUUGUUCAAUCAAAACUGUGCUAAGGACAUUAACCCUGGGCUUUGAUUUUCAAGGAUGAAUCCUUAAUCCAGGGCUAAGGCAAGGGUUGUUAGGCAUGGGUUAGUAAGUAUUAGUGUGAAUUGAGGCUAACCUAAGCCCUGGGCUUAGGCUUGAAUAAUUAGUUCAAGGCUCAGUUAACCUAGGGCUAAGGAGGCCUAGGGCACAAAUAUGAAAAGGGCUUAUGGUUAGCUGCAGAAGUAGAAUAGGUGGGUGUCUCAACAAAAAAAAAUCUGAUGUA